rnacentral:rRNA from 1 species
GUGGGUAGUUUGACUGGGGCGGUCUCCUCCUAAAGAGUAACGGAGGAGCACGAAGGUUGGCUAAUCCUGGUCGGACAUCAGGAGGUUAGUGCAAUGGCAUAAGCCAGCUUGACUGCGAGCGUGACGGCGCGAGCAGGUGCGAAAGCAGGUCAUAGUGAUCCGGUGGUUCUGAAUGGAAGGGCCAUCGCUCAACGGAUAAAAGGUACUCCGGGGAUAACAGGCUGAUACCGCCCAAGAGUUCAUAUCGACGGCGGUGUUUGGCACCUCGAUGUCGGCUCAUCACAUCCUGGGGCUGAAGUAGGUCCCAAGGGUAUGGCUGUUCGCCAUUUAAAGUGGUACGCGAGCUGGGUUUAGAACGUCGUGAGACAGUUCGGUCCCUAUCUGCCGUGGGCGCUGGAGAACUGAGGGGGGCUGCUCCUAGUACGAGAGGACCGGAGUGGACGCAUCACUGGUGUUCGGGUUGUCAUGCCAAUGGCACUGCCCGGUAGCUAAAUGCGGAAGAGAUAAGUGCUGAAAGCAUCUAAGCACGAAACUUGCCCCGAGAUGAGUUCUCCCUGAGACUUAAAGUCUCCUGAAGGAACGUUGAAGACGACGACGUUGAUAGGCCGGGUGU